rnacentral:rRNA from 1 species
CUACGGGGGGCACCAGUGGGGAAUUUUGCGCAAUGGGGGCAACCCUGACGCAGCAAUACCGCGUGAGUGAAGAAGGCCUUUGGGUCGUAAAGCUCUUUUCUAAGGGAAGAUAGUGACGGUACCUUAGGAAUAAGCACCGGCUAACUCCGUGCCAGCAGCCGCGGUAAUACGGAGGGUGCGAGCGUUGUUCGGAUUUACUGGGCGUAAAGGGCACGUAGGCGGCCUAGCAAGUUAAGGGUGAAAUCCCGGGGCUCAACUCCGGAACUGCUCUUAAAACUGCUAAGCUAGAGAUAGUCAGAGGCGGGUGGAAUUCCAGGUGUAGAGGUGAAAUUCGUAGAUAUCUGGAGGAACACCGGUGGCGAAGGCGGCCCGCUGGGGCUAUUCUGACGCUGAGGUGCGAAAGCGUGGGGAGCGAACGGGAUUAGAUACCCCGGUAGUC